rnacentral:rRNA from 1 species
UGGAUUUGUGCCUUCGGGAACUGUGAGACAGGUGCUGCAUGGCUGUCGUCAGCUCGUGUUGUGAAAUGUUGGGUUAAGUCCCGCAACGAGCGCAACCCUUAUCCUUUGUUGCCAGCGGUCCGGCCGGGAACUCAAAGGAGACUGCCAGUGAUAAACUGGAGGAAGGUGGGGAUGACGUCAAGUCAUCAUGGCCCUUACGACCAGGGCUACACACGUGCUACAAUGGCGCAUACAAAGAGAAGCGACCUCGCGAGAGCAAGCGGACCUCAUAAAGUGCGUCGUAGUCCGGAUUGGAGUCUGCAACUCGACUCCAUGAAGUCGGAAUCGCUAGUAAUCGUGGAUCAGAAUGCCACGGUGAAUACGUUCCCGGGCCUUGUACACACCGCCCGUCACACCAUGGGAGUGGGUUGCAAAAGAAGUAGGUAGCUUAACCUUCGGGAGGGCGCUUACCACUUUGUGAUUCAUGACUGGGGUGAAGUCGUAACAAGGUAACCGUAGGGGAACCUGCGGUUGGAUCACCUCCUUACCUUAAAGAA